rnacentral:tRNA from 1 species
CCCCUAGUAGCUCAAAGGAAGAGCGUUGGUUUUCAAAGGUGUCGGUUCAAAUCCGUCCGCGGGCG